UAGAAUCAUGUAAUUAAUUUGAAGUGCUAAACUAGUGUGAUAUAUUGCAACACCUAGUCUUGAGGUUUUUAGUUACUCCAUCAGUUUUGCAGUGAGGAGUGUUGAGACAGUUACUUUGAGUUUCCUCAUGCUAACAUCCCAUCCUCAGCCUAAAACCUGAACUGAAACAUAUGAUCAGAGUUUACUUUUGACUGUAAAUCAAUAAAAUAAUAACAACAACAAAAAAAUCUUCCUUAACUCUCAGCUGUUGGCUGUAAAAGUGUUCCUUGGUUAUUGUUAUAGGUGUAGCAGCAGCUGCGUGGUUUUCGGUAGUGAUGCCUAACAUGAUUUUUGGUCAUGCAAAUCAUAGAAUCGCUAAGGUUGGAAAAGACCCACAGGAUCAUCCAGUCCAACCAUUCGCCCUUCACAAAUCUAGCUAUCAACUAAGCAGUGUAAUGGUAGUGAGUUAAUUUCCCACUUGGACUAAAGCACUGCUGCAUUUGGAGGUUUUCAUGGCACAUCUAUGAGAAAGUACAAAUCUGUUCCUCAGAUCUCUCUAUGUAUGUGUUUUAGGAAUUUCUAUUAAAAAAAAAAAAGCCCAAGAAUAUUAGAGAAAGUUCCACAAUCAUGCUUGCUUUUAAUAAGCUACUGAAAAAUACAGUUUUGUUAAGAAUCCUGUUCUUGCUUAGUUUCAGGAGAACUUGCCUUUGUGAAUAUGUUUGGAGAUAUUACAAAGAUGAUGUGCCCAAGUUGCAUUUUCCACCUCAAAAAAACCACCAAAAACAGAAUAAUCAGAAUCACCAGGGUUCGAAAAGACCUCUAAGGUCAUCCAGUCCAGCUGUGUACCUAUCACCAACACUGCCCACAAUAUCUGACCAAAAUUGUUUGUCAAAUCUUGAGAAAUGAUCCUUUUUGCUGCACAAUGAGGCUGCAUUAAUGAGUGUAUGAAAAUGUCCAUUCAGAUUUUCAUUAAAGCUGUCUGCUGUACAAGCACACACCUGUGCAUUUAUGUGGUCUCACUGAUACGCCUGCAAGAAGACGCAGAAGGACAUCUGUAAGGUGAACUUAAUGCAGAAACAUACCUUAGUGACCUCGGUAAGAGGGAUGAAUCAGCUCCAUGCUGAGCAAACUGCUAGCAGGGAAGUAAGCUGGUGGAAGCUCGGCAUGCUUUGUGGCGUAAUGCAGCUUGCAGGUUUGUACUGCAGAUGUCACCAAAAUACGUUGCUCCAUUUGUUCAGCAGCGCCACCUAAUAGCAAGGGGCACUUUAGACAGCACAUCCUCCUUUUAGGGCACUGGCAGCAACUCAGUGCUCUGUGCACUGCACAUCCAACUCCUUCCAUUAUUUCACGUGGAACAGGACUGGAGUCCCAGAUUGCUCCUGGCACAACAGUGAAAUCAAACACUUGCGCAGAGGUAGAAAUCUGGGCCAUACUCAGGAGGUACAGGAUGUGAUCCAUGAUGUUAUCCCACUUGUUUGUGUUUCACUCUGUGGCUUGGAUGGCAGAUAUUGCAGAGGUACCUUGAAGGGUUACAGUCUGGCUCUGUCAUAGAGUGUUUAAAUUACUUUUUCACCUGGCACUAUUUAGGAGACUGAAGUGUGAUGCAAGUGCCCAGCCUCUUUCUCCCGCCCCCCAUGCAGGCACUCCUGCAUGCACCUCCUUCCUCUCCAGUGGAAUUGCACCCAGGAAUGAAUUUGGUUCAUUUCACUUGCUUCUAAGAACCCAAAGGGUAGCUCCUGUUGCGUCUCGUGGCUGCCGCUUUCGGACAGUGUUAAAAGCGACUCUUGCACGGUCAGCAAAUUCUUCGGAAGGAGAGAAGCCGCCCUUAGUCCACAUGCAUAUUACAAAGGUUAUUUUCAGCAGUGUGCAGCUGUAAUCAGCAGAGCUCAGCUUGGCAAUUUUAAUCCCCUGCCGUCUAGUUGGGGGCUGCUUGUUAUGCAGUCAGCAUUCACUCAACAUAAUGGUUGCUACCUGCCAAUGUGCUUUGAGGGAUAUUGUUAGCAUUAAAUUUGCCAUUUACAUUUUCAUGUUUGACAUAAUUGAGGAAUGAAUGCUCUUAUGAAAAUUAAACUUGUGGUCCUCCUGGACUACAGUAACCC
ensembl:lncRNA